UACAAUAACAAAUUUUAUUCAUUAGUUAAAAGAAAAAUUAUUUCUCCCUUACACAUUGUUACCGCGUAGUGGGAAAAAAUUUUCCAAAAUACAGUUGGGACCGCGCAUCUUCAUAAGACAAUGUUGAUACCGUCGUUUUUCACGAUGCAAAGGCGUCGAACGCUGUUCGUGCGAUACACAGUGGGUCAAGGUGUGCCGUCACGGGGUAGAUAUCAGGGUAAAAUAGACUGACAGUAAUAGCGUACUUGGCGCGUCGAAAAUGGCCAUUAGAGUUAUCGCGAAAAUGCUCACAGAAGAGAAGCUCCAUAAAAGCCGUAGAGUUUCUGAAAGUUUCUUGGCGAAUGGCUGCAUGUAAAACGACAAGGCGGUGAACACGAAGUAGUUACACUUUGCAUAAUUCAAUGCACAAACGAACGAUAAUAUUAAUAGUCAAUAAGUAACUGGAGAUGUCUGACAAACGGGAUAGCUGAGCAGGACCAAUGAUGGGGAGUUAACAAAACAAAAAAAAAACAGAAAAACGGAAACGAGCCGAAGCAAAGCAGAAAUUGUUCGUAAAAUAUUUUUAAAAAAUUUUAUAUUUUUUUUUUUAAUAAAAAAGCUACAUAAUUUUCCCCCUUUUAAAUAUUGCGUUUUACGGGUAUCCGCGAAAUUUUUCGACGAGGCUAGCUUAUAUCUGGCUCCAUUGAAAUUCCAGAGGUACGAUCCCUCAAUAAUACUAAAGAUACGUGAAACCCGAUAAGGAGUCUCUCGUUCGAGAACUUCUCUACGCGAACCAUAAAAAUGGUGAUUCUAACCAGCCGAUUCCACGUGCGGACCCACCUAGACGACGAUGUACCAACCAGUUCCUGCAGCCAAGUCUUACAAAUAUCAAGGAAUGGCUAAUGUAAAUAGAGAGUCGGUAGCCAAAAGGGACUAUUUUUCCAAGAUAAUAAACAUGACUGGUAGCCUAUUCCGAUAACGACCGCGUAUCGGCAAUUUUUCAAAAGAAAUACCCCCUAAGCGUAUCUAAUCAAGGUCCAAAUCCACUCCCCAGGAAAAAUGCAUUGAAGUACCGAUGAUUCCACGAAAUUUCGAGUGGUCGAAUUGACAUAGAUAAAAACCAAGAAAAAUAAAUACACCGCCACAAAGAUAGAAAAAAAACCCUAUACCCUAUGUACACUUCUAUACAAAGAUACAAUAUUCAGAUACGACAAUUCAAAUCUAACGAAGUCCUUCCUUCCUUCCUUUCCUUAUACGGCUGUAUCCCCAAUGGGGGAUAUGUGCCAGUAACGUGGUCCUAAUAAUCAAGGUUGGAAGUUCGACAAUAGAUGGCGAUGUACCUUGCGAGAACGGGCCUUAUUCAACUCAGCGUGAGGGUACCUACAAAGUUUAUACACCCAAUCCGAACAGUGUUGGGCGAAAUCCUAAGUUUUCAUGUGAAAACCAUUGGUGAAUGCCGCUGGAAGCUGGGCGCGAACCCUCCAACCUUUCGGUCGUGAAUCCGCAACCCUAUCCACUGGGCUACGGCCGUCCCUUAAUCCUACGAAGUCAACGGUAAUACGUUUACUCGUUGCGCUAAGCAAGUAAAAUAAAGAAUACCUGGAACGACAGCGCAGUCAGUGAAGUGUUCGUCCGCGAUCGCAGCGCCACCCGACGGAUAAAGUCAGUACUAAAGCACAGUCCAUCUAGCAUACGUUUCCCAUACUAACCUCGACGAGAAGCUUAACGACUUUGUUUUCGGUAAUGGCGUCAGGUUUCGUGCGGUGGUCCUGGCGGGGCAUUAAAUUCCAUCGUGGGAAAACUAAUCCGUACGAGCCACGUAGAGGGCUAACCGAACUCGUUAGGAAAAGAUGGCUGGUCUAUCUCGGGCAUGGAGUUAUUAGUCCGGCGAGGAAGCCGAAACGACGUGGUAGAAGGAAGGAAGGAAGACACACGUAUAAAGCCGUCACGCUGGGAUUCCCGCGUAAGGAUUCCAACGACUGUCGGACAUCAAGGCUCAAAACCAACUGUUUCACAGUGCCAGCUAAACAAAUGGCUGCGCUUCCGUGUUACAGGCAAAGUAUCCAUACACAGGCCCAGGUUUACGAUCUUCCACAAAGUACAGAGCCCAGCCUACGUCACGCCUGUAGAGGCGCCUAUAGAUACCCACGUGUCCCUCGUCCAAACGCUAUAGAUAUAGCCGAUCCACGAGUUCAAUGUUUUCCCUUUUGACAGCUGUCAAACAGUCCAACCCUUAGCGACCAGUAGAGCACGUGGCCACUUGAAAAAAUCACGAAAUACGCCAAAACAGGACAUUAAGGCUCAAAACCAUCUGUUUCACAGUGCCAGCUAAACAAAUGGCUGCGCUUCCGUGUUACAGCCAAAGUAUCCAUACACAGGCCCAGGUUUACGAUCUUCCACAAAGUACAGAGCCCAGCCUACGUCACGCCUGUAGAGGCGCCUAUAGAUACCCACGUGUCCCUCGUCCAAACGCUAUAGAUAUAGCCGAUCCACGAGUUCAAUGUUUUCCCUUUUGACAGCUGUCAAACAGUCCAACCCUUAGCGACCAGUAGAGCACGUGGCCACUUGAAAAAAUCACGAAAUACGCCAAAACAGGACAUUAAGGCUCAAAACCAUCUGUUUCACAGUGCCAGCUAAACAAAUGGCUGCGCUUCCGUGUUACAGCCAAAGUAUCCAUACACAGGCCCAGGUUUACGAUCUUCCACAAAGUACAGAGCCCAGCCUACGUCACGCCUGUAGAGGCGCCUAUAGAUACCCACGUGUCCCUCGUCCAAACGCUAUAGAUAUAGCCGAUCCACGAGUUCAAUGUUUUCCCUUUUGACAGCUGUCAAACAGUCCAACCCUUAGCGACCAGUAGAGCACGUGGCCACUUAAAAAAAUCACGAAAUACGCUAAAACAGACAAACCAAAUAGCGUAAAACUAACCCGCGUGUAUACCUUGCAAAAAAAAAUAUCAUGCGGACCCACGUGCGAUUUGCCAAUCACUGCAUUGUUUACCAGCUGUCAAAAAAAAAGGCACAUUAAAUUCAUAGACUACAAAACACCGCCCUAAAAAAUUAACACGGCAAUUGGUAUCCGUGACGAUUUUUAAUUAUUUGCUAUAAAAACAUCCAAAGUUAAAUAAUUGAUUGAUAAAUACGAAUAAAAAAAUUAACAAGCAUCGCCCCCCCCCCCACAUUAUGCUUUGUAAACAAACUCAACAUAUGACAGUACAAACGUGUCGUGUGUCUAUCUACAGUUGGUAGUGAUACGUACAUGUACUUUGUCCGAGUGUACAGUGAUACCAACAGUUGUCGUUCCCCUAAUAGCCCCCCUCCUUCCCCCCCGCCCCGUACAAAUGGGCUCCGAUAUCACGAGAAACAAGAAAGUAUCGCAAUCUGUCACUCUCAAGUUUCUACGGCAGACGAUACACGCCUUGGUAUAUACUUCGCUUGGUUACGAGGGAGGGCGUCGCGACGCCGUUAACGUCAUCGGCUAAUUGGCCGUUACUACCCAAUUACGCGGUCUGCUCGGUAAACGAUUCGCCGCAGGUAUUACGCAUCUGGGAAAAUUCGUUUCGCGUGUCCCGAGGUGUCGGCCAUCUUUGCGAAUAGUCCGGGGGGUGGGAUUCAUAGUGAUUUCUGUAUUCGGUUCCAAGUCCACUCAACAUAUACAGACAGUAUCGAUAAGAAAAACAGUGAUUAAGAAUAAAAAAAGGAACGAAAGGUAUAUAGGCAAAUUAAUUUUUGCUUACAGAUGAUUCAUUGAUUUCUUUUUUCCUGAAUCCGGAUGGGUCUCGACGUAAACACGAAACUUUACCUGGUACGAGCGUUGGACGAAGAGAGACUGACGAUUAAUUCGAGUAUAAAAACAAUGCGUUUUUAUAGGAAACUUUGGCUAGGAUAUUUACGUACGUUUUAACAUGUAAUAUUCCGAGUGAGGUUAUGUAUGCUCGGCUUGUGCUUUUAUUUAUCAGCCUGACCCAGACGCGCCUUUACUUCCUGUAUUGACAUUGUCAGGGGGCGACCGAAUUGAAAAGGAUUAUCGAUCGUAAAUCGAGCCUGGGAAUACUUCCGGAUAACACGAGCCACGUAAAAGCAGACUGACGGUUACAGGCGUCAAUUGCAAAAUAAAAAAAUGAAUCGCGUGUAUUAUUGUACGAGAAAAAAGAAGCAGACUCGCUGUAAAGGUAACGCAGAAGUACUUUGGCUCAAACCAGUUUUAUCCUGUAUGACUUCGUCUCCAUGGCAACGAAAUAACAGUGACAGCUGCAACUAGUGGGUACGAGUGCAAACUGUUAGCCGCUCGAGUUUUAGCUGGUGUCGCGUGGAUAAUAGUUCUAAGACUUUUAACCAGCCGAUCCGAAAUGUUUAAUAAGAAGUACAUUCAAGGGGGUGCGCUUGAAAAGUGGCGGGAACAAAAGCAGGAUUCAAACAGUGUGUUUGAAGUAACGUCGUGGCGACUUCGCUCUCGACUCGAGAACCAGAUCGAACGACAGAAAUGGAGGAGGCGACCGGUCGUUAACGCUGAGCACUGGUAUGCCUGACCAAACCAUAGGCAGGUUUGUUCGCGCGCAUAGAAACGGGUGUUUAUUAAUUCCAGGGUAAAAGGAGUACGAGCGAAAGGAGUGUUACGUGGUGAGUCGUAAUAGCGGAGAACUGAUAGUUCCAACGAGUGAAUCGAGCUUGACGGGUCUGGGAAGAAUGUUUCAUUCUGGAGGAUGCCCAUCGUAAUUUUUUUUUUUACUUAAAAAACUGACAGACACUGUACUAGUUUUUGACUGUUAUUUUGGUUACGUCUAUUGUAUACCAUUUUUUUACGACUACGCAAGAGUCCGACAAAUAAGAAAGUGUAAGCAAAUAUUAAUUUACGCAAAUGCUUUAGAAACUGUCGACCGUAGAAAAGGAGGACGUUUGGAGAAAACGUGAAAAAUGGAAAAAUCCUCAGGGUCUGCCAUCCGGACCACGAUAAAGGGUAAAAAAGAGGACUGGAAUUUUUUGAAGCUUGUCUCACGUAAGACGCGUGCCGAAGAGAGAUACCGGAAUUCGAACGUCCUGGACGCCCCUGUACUACCGUAGCUGUCUUUAACGGCGAUGAAGAUUAUUCAGACAGAAAGAAAAAGGGGGAGAGAAAGAGAAAGAAAAAAAUUUGUUCUCUCGUGCGGAACCCGUCAGAGAUAACAGAGCCGGUACGAAGACUGUAGAUUCUUUGAGAAAUAAAAAUGCCGAAGGAGACCGUAAUCCUUUGGGAUAGUCCUCAUCGCGGCGACGUAGUAAAACCUGAGCGGACGGAGACAAUGAAGAUGGAAGAAGGGAGUAUGAAAAAUAUUUAUAAAAAAAAAAAAAAAAAAAAAAAAAAAAAAAAAAAAAAAAAAAAAAA